ACCAGCAGGAAUGCAGACGUUACAAGGCAGUGACACCGUAAACAAAGCAGUCUAGUAAAGUAACCCUGUGAAAUCAAGCCAGAUCUCGAGGACAGGGACAAGGACAGAGGCCGUUUCUUGGGCAGAAGACUGUCCAUACACUUGACUGCCCUCAGAGGAUGCUCUAGCUCUUGACACUGACUUUGAACACUUUUCACCAUUCCAGUAACAUCUGAACACUGACUACGGCUCCAGGCCAGGAGUUCUGAACACUGUCUCGGGGAGGGCUCGUUCCUUCUACCCACUAUGUCCCGACCCCUGCUGAACAUACUGGGUGCAUGACGGCAGACGGCCCUGGCAGCAUGAAGCACCUACAAAAGGUCCUCGUUAAAGACUGUGGGAUCUCUCAGCAACUCAUGAGCACUGGGGAACUCAUUUAAUACACUUGAGUUAAUUUACAGUGCAAUGCCUGUACUUGACUUUCAUCAGCAAGGGCUUUGUCUAAAAGUCAAGUACUUAGAUAUUUUAUAUUAAAGAUACACUAUGACUGUGAAGGAACAGCAGAAACGAAUCUGACUAGCAGCGAUGAGGGUGCAGGUUCGAUCCCUGACCUCGCUCAGUUCAUUAAAGAUCCCGCGUUGCCAUGAGCUUGUGGCAUAGGUCGCAGACAGGUGUCGCAUCCCGCGUUGCUGUGGCUGUCGUGUAGGCCAGCAGCUGUAGCUUUGAUUGGAGCCCUAGCCUGGGAACUAUCCAUAUGCCGUGGGUGUGGCCGUAAAAAGCAAAAAAGAAAAAAAAAAAAAUUGUGAAGGAAUAUAUCCAAGGCUAGUAUUAAAUAUCUUAGAAAAGGUGAUUUAAAAUUCUACCAUUAAAAAAUUCCUAUACCAUCUUACCUAUUAUUCAGUUAUUACCCAAUAGGAUGCUAUUUCACCCAUUCAUUUAUUAAUUUACCAUUCAUUAAUUAACACAUAUAUACGAGUAUCUACUCUGAGUCAGGGUGGUUCUACGUAUGCUGGCGAUAAAAUUAUAAACUAGAGCUCUAAAUUCCCUACACUUAUGUAGUUUAUGUUAUCCAGUCUCAUUCUGAAAAGCAUUUUAUUUUAAAGACAAAAAGUACAUAUAAUAUUUGUCUUAGCUCACACAAAAAAGUGUUAUUACUUCGACAUAAGAAAGCAUCCUGUCCAAGAAGAACUCAUAAUAUAACACAGUGUUUCUAGUGUCUGGGCUUAAUUAGAAAAUGUGCUAUAAGUUACAGAAAUAAUUAAAAGAAUUAUAAAAUAAAAUUACACGUACUGUUUUAGUAAUACAUUUAAAAAUCUCGAAGAAGUCAAUGGUUUCCUAGCAAAAACUAAAUCGUUAAGACUAAACCACGAGGAGUUUCCAUUGCGGCUCAGUGGGUUAAGGACCCAGUGUCCUGUGAAGAUGGGGGUUCGAUCCCUGGCAUGGCUCAGUGGAUUACGGAUCCAGUGUGGCCACAAAGUGCAGUGUAGGUUGCAGAUGUGGCUAGGAUCCGGCUAAGCCUACAGUUGCAGCUCCAAUUCAACUCCUAGCCCAGAACUUAUAUAUACCACAGAUGCAAGAGUUAAAAAACAAAGCAAAACCCAAAAAAAACCAUGGAGAAGUAGGAAAAAAUUAGAGUAAGUAGCACUAAAGUUAUGAGAGUCUGAUUUAGCAUCAUAAAAAGUCACCUGGGGAGUUCCCGUCGUGGCGCAGUGGUUAACAAAUCUGACUAGGAACCAUGAGGUUGCGGGUUCGGUCCCUGCCCUUGCUCCGUGGGUUAAGGAUCCAGCGUUGCCGUGGGCUGUGGUGUAGGUCGCAGAUGUGGCUCGGAUCCCGUGUUGCUGUGGCUCUGGCCUACAGCUCUGAUUGGACCCCCAGCCUGGGAACCUCUAUAUGCCAUGUGUGCAGCCCUAGAAAAGGCAAAAGACAAAAAAAAAAAAAAAGUAGAUUCGUGUAUAUAAUAUCCACUCUGAUUUUAUAAAACAAUAAAAACUUAGUGUGUGUGGGGGGGGGGAGUGAUAUCAUGAUAUCUAUGACAUAUACAUGCAGAUCACAGGAAAAAGAUACCCAGCAGAUAGUUAACGUGUGUGAAUGG
rnacentral:lncRNA from 1 species